GGAGUUGGCCGCACGAUCGCUGCUUGAAUUUGUUCAAGGAGAGGAAAGUCCGGGCUCCAUAGGGCAGGGUGCCAGAUAACGUCUGGGGGGCGUGAGCCCACGGCCAGUGCAGCAGAGAGUAUACCGCCGAUGGCUAUUUAGGUAGCACAGGUAAGGGUGAAAGGGUGCGGUAAGAGCGCACCGCGCGUCCGGUAACGGUACGCGGCAUGGUAAACCCCACUCGGAGCAAGACCAAAUAGGUUCCCUGAGGUGCGGCCCGCACUGGGAACGGGUAGGUUGCUUGAGCUUUGGAGCGAUCCAAAGCCUAGAUGAAUGAUCGUGACCUUGUUCGCAAGGGACAGAACCCGGCUUAUGGCCAACUCCACUU
rnacentral:RNase_P_RNA from 12 species